ACAACAAUAACACGAUAUUAUAUAUAACCGUUCUUUCCCUUUAGUCCUUUGGUUUCGUCCAAUGCAAGAAAUAUGAUCUUCCCUUCUUGUUCUUUGAAUAUUUAUGUAUCCUGGAUAAUACUUUUUUGCUUUGAAGACUCCAUUGACUUGGUGAUGGAGAAGCGAGAGGGAAUUACUUUUCCAAAUUUUGAAAGUCUUCAGGACCGUAGUUCCAUAAUAAAAAGACGUCAUACAAAAAAUAUCGUAUUAUCUUCGUAACUCCAUACAUUUUUACCACUAUUAUCAGCGAUCCAGGAUUUAAUAUCAAUAGUCAAUGAUGUAUCUCAAACUUCAUCACGAUACAACUUUACACGUUUCUAAAAACUUAUUAAAAUAAUAAAAACGUAGUUAGUAGUUAAUGUUA
rnacentral:lncRNA from 1 species